UGGGGAAUAUUGGACAAUGGGGGAAACCCUGAUCCAGCAAUGCCGCGUGUGCGAUGAAGGCCUGAGGGUUGUAAAGCACUUUCGUUGGGGAAGAAAUGCUCAAAGUUAAUACCUUUGAGAGUUGACGUUACCCAAAUAAGAAGCACCGGCUAACUCUGUGCCAGCAGCCGCGGUAAUACAGAGGGUGCAAGCGUUAAUCGGAGUUACUGGGCGUAAAGGGCGCGUAGGCGGACUUUUAAGUCGGGUGUGAAAUCCCUGGGCUCAACCUAGGAAUUGCAUUCGAUACUGGGAGUCUAGAGUAUGGUAGAGGAAAGUGGAAUUCCCGGUGUAGUAGUAAAAUACGUAGAUAUCGGGAGGAACACCAGUGGCGAAGGCGGCUUUCUGGCCCAAUACUGACGCUGAGGCGCGAAAGCGUGGGGAGCAAACAGG
rnacentral:rRNA from 1 species